GCCUGGCCCAAGGCACACCUUUAAAUGCUGAAUCACCCUGAUAGUGAGGACCAAGGUGUCUUAGUUGCUUUUCCUGUUGCUGUGAUAAAACACUCUGACAAACACAACUCAGGGGAGAAAGGGUUUGUACUGGUUUACAGUUCAAGUGUACAGUCCAUCAUGGCGGGGAGUCGGGGCGGCAGGAGCCUGAAGCCGUUGCUCACAUCACUUCCACAACAAGGAAUCAGUGAGGAAUGAAUGCAUGCAAGCACACAGUUUUGCGUCCCCUUUCUACAGUCCAAGUCCACAGCAUAGGGAACUGUUCUGCCCAUAACUGAGACAGGACUUCCCACAUCGAUUAACACAAUCACGGUAACCCCACAGGCUGCCGGGAGGCCGUCUCCCUGCCUGAGUCUAGAUGGCAUCACAGGGACAAAUCGCAUUAGCCAUCACACCUGGAAAGGCACAGUGGCAGAUGGAGCGGUCACAAUGAAAGGCGGCGGCAGCAGCAUGUUCACAGCACCAGUGCUCACCCCUCUGAAGCCAUGACACCUGCCGGACACAGAAGCUUGAAGAGUUCUAGCAAAGAGGAGUGCUCCCUCCUCGAACCUGGCUUCCGUGCCCUCGGGAUCGUCACUUCUCGGAAGAGGGCAGCAGAGACACUUAGGAAGCAAUCAUAGCCUGGCUGAAGACUCCUGGGAUAAUGAAGUCAAUCCAAAUGAGAGGGUGAGAUCGAGAUCCCUACGUUGCCUGGGGGAUAAGAGAAGGACCUCAGCUAAAAACAGGAUCAUCUAGCUGAGAGGAGGUCAUACUAACACAACAUAGCUGGUAUCUCCAGAAAAAGAAGACAUUUACACAGAGACCUGUGCACAGAGAAAAAUGCCAGAGCUCGGAGGCAGAGAUCGGGAUAGUGCACCCAGAAGACAAACAAACAAACAAACAAAAACACCAAAUAAAUGAUGAGGGAUGCCAGAAAGCCAGAAGGGCAAAGAGUAGAUGCUUUCUGAAACCAACCCUCCUGAUACUGUGAUCUCGAACUUCUGGUCUCCAGAAUUGAGGGGAUAAUUGAAGCCACUCAGUCUGUGGGACUCUGCCCUGGCAGCCCUUCUGACCUAGAAUCUGAUGUAGAAAUUGAUGUGAGAAGGGCAGAGCUGAAGAGUCAGAACCACAGGGGGAGCAGCUCCAGGGAGUUCUGCAAACACUGCCCCAGUCUCCGGCUUCCUGGUUUCAGCUGGGCCCCGAUCUCAUGAGUUCAAUUCUGGGAUUCAUGAGAUACCAGGUACCCUUCCCGUGUGUAUCACUGUGUAUCCUUCCUGUGUGUAUCACUGUGUAUCCUUCCUGUGUGUAUCACUGUGUAUCCUUCCCGUGUUAUCACUGUGUAUCCUUCCCGUGUUAUCACUGUGUAUCCUUCCCGUGUGUAUCACUGUGUAUCCUUCCUGUGUGUAUCAGUGUGUAUCACUGUGUACCCUUCCCAUGUGUAUCACUGUGUAUCCUUCCCGUGUGUAUCAGUGUGUAUCACUGUGUAUCCUUCCCAUGUGUAUCACUGUGUAUCCUUCCCGUGUGUAUCACUGUGUAUCCUUCCCCUGUGUACCACUGUGUAUCCUUCCUAUGUGUAUCACUGUGUAUCCUUCCUAUGUGUAUCACUGUGUAUCCUUCCCGUGUUUAUCAGUGUGUAUCACCGUGUAUCCUUCCCGUGUGUAUCACUGUGUAUCCUUCCCGUGUGUAUCACUGUGUAUCUUCCCCUGUGCAUCACUGUGUAUCCUUCCCAUGUGUAUCACUGUGUAUCCUUCCUGUGUGUAUCACUGUAUAUCCUUCCCCUGUGUAUCACUGUAUAUCCUUCCCCUGUGUAUCACUAUGCAUCCUUCUCAUGUGUUUCCUGACCUUUUGCCCCACUUUAGUGUUGUAGUUUCAUUUUAAUUGCUGUGAUGAAAUGAAGAAAAGCACUUAGAGGAGAAAGUUUAUUCCAGGUUACAGUCCAUCACUGAAGGGAAGUCAAGGCAGGAAAUCAAAGCAGCUAGUCACAUCAUAUCCACAGUCUAGAGCAGAGAAAAAUACAUGUGUUUAUUUUCCUUGUUUGCUUGAGCUUAACUUGACUUCUAUACAGUUCAGAACUCCCUGCUUAGGGAAUAAUACCACCCACAGUGGGCUGAGUCUUUCCACAUCAAUCACUAGUCAAGACAAUCCCCCACAGAUAUCCCCACAGGCUAACCUGAUCUAGAUAAUUCCUUAAUUAAGAUUCACCCCAUGUAAUUCUAGGUUGUGGAAGGUUAACAUGUCAUCACAGAUAGCAUAUCCUUUACUUAAAUGCAAGUGGCUGAAAGCCCAAGUCUUCGUGUUCCUUUGAAAUAAGAGUUAGACUUUGGUGUCACAACAGCCCUGGUGUCAGAAGGCCAUUUCCAACUCCUUGGUGGAAUACCCUAAGCUAGGUGAGUUACCCAGAUCUCUUGAGGAGAUGGGUCAGAUGCUAGGCAGAAGGACAAAUAUCCACUGCGGUCCUUCCUUCUUCUCAUUCUUCUCAUUCUUCUCUCUCUCUCUCUCCCUCACUUGGAGUUAGCCACAGAGGUUCGGCAAACAACGGUGUGUGUGUAUGUGUGUGUGUGUGUGUGUGUGUGUGUGUGUGUAGGGUAUCGGUGUAGCAUCAGAGAAGGAAUGAAAGGCCCAAAGUCCAUGGGGAAGUGUACUUGGGCUCUGGCCGGCAUCAGAAAGAGACAGAAAAGAAGACAAGGAGGAAGUUGCAUCUUUCUGAGUCAGGACUCAUCCAAGGGGUCAGCUCUAACAUAGCCUCUGGUUCUGUAUUGAUUAUUCAAAGGACUGGGACUUUUGGGAAGGAAAAGCACAUUAUCUCAUUUAAGGGAAUAAUUAUUUCUCCCAUUUCUUUAGCAUGGCCUAAGGUGAAUCAGCCUUUCUGAGGGGUGGUCCCUUGGCCAGAUGAUUGAUAGAUGGAUUAACUCUUACGUUUUGGGUAGCUUGGAAUGUUAGGUCUCCACCUAAGACUAGAGGUGGAGUCCGUUCUUUUGACAGGAAGAAAUAGAUUUCCCUUAACGGGUUUCAGUAGAGCCUGAUCAAGGCUGCUGUAACAUCUCCCAUUCUGAAGAGGUUACUCUAACAUCAUUAGGAGAUAGGCUGAAAUUGGGGAAUGGAUAGAAACCAUUUCUAUCAUGAAAAUCUAGAGAUUAAGUUGUUGGGGAUUAGUGUCUGGACCAGAGUCAUACCCUUGCCUAUAGCGUCAAGGCAGGCACGCUCAUUUAGGAGAUGAGAAACCAGAGCUCUCCCUCGCUAAGACCAGAGAGCCAAGGGCAUCAGAGCUGCUGCUUCAGGCCCCCGCCCCAGCUGCCUGUCCAGUUUCUGUCUCUUGUUCUCAUCAUGAGUGGUGUUUGGCGCUGCAGUCUCCCGGGUGAUGUUAACUGCUCUCAGCCUUUGCAGCUAGCUACACACGUCUUUCUUUUUAAUACCCUGCCCCUGUUGGUGAACAUUUGAACUGUUACUGUGGUUAAAUACGUCAGAGCUGCCCAAGCUGUGGGUAUAACUUCAUCACCACUCUUGUACCACGUUUUAGAAAGAGCAUGUCUCUGACUGUCUCAGCAUAGAUCCAGUCAAGUGAGGCAGCUGAGCUGAAGGAUGGUCACAAUUUCAAAUGUGAUGGGUAGUUCCAAAUGACCCAGCAGAGGCUGGGCAAACAGUCUCUAAGGGUUGUUCCCUUCAGCCUCACCAAGAGCCCCAUGUUAUCAAUCUCCUUAGCUUUUAAACAGCAGAUGGGUGAAAAUAUUGAAUUUCAAUGUGCAUGUCUUUAAUUAUGCAUGAGUGUGAGGCUGAAUGUCUUUUCAUUUGCUAAUGGUGUUCCUGAGACUUGUCUGGGCCAGCCUCAUGACCUGGCUAAAGGGCCACUGAGAUCACCUAGUGCCAGUUCCAGAUCACUAGCUGGUUCCAGGAAGUGGCCCAGCGGGAACCCUGGUCACGCCAUAGAGUUCACUGGUCAAGGAAGUCUGAUGGUAUCUGGCUUGUCUGCUCAGACAGAAGAGCUGUGUGUGGUACCACAGCCUCAGUCCCCAUAGAGGAACAAACCUGACCACUUGAAUUUGUGGCUAUGUUACCUCCCUGGGGCAUCCUAGGCCUUUCCAGGGCCACAGGACAAGUGGGUGGUUCCUCUGUUGCUCAGAGGUUUAGAGGAAUCCAUGCUAAUGUGACCCCACCCCCACCCCCAUCUCAUUCUGGACAACACCGAGCACUGUGAGUGGCCAGCAUGCUCAUGUGUUUUGUCAUUUAAUGCUGGUCUCUGGUUCUCUAGAAAGACUUGCUGCGUCUGAGAUCCAGGUCUGACAUGACUGUAGCUGGAGAGUUUUCUCUCCGGGUCCCGCCAAGCCCCGGCAGUCCGACAGCCCACUUAUAAAAUAAACACACAGACGCUUAUAUUAUUUAAACUGUAUGGUCAUGGCAGGCUUCUUGUUAACCGUUCUUAUAUCUUAAAUUAACCCAUUUCUAUAAAUCUGUACCUUGCCACAUGGCACAUGGCUUACCGGCAUCUUCACAUGCUGCUUGUCUUGGCAGUGGCUGGCCGUGUCUCCCUGCAUCAGCCUUCCACUUCCCAGAAUUCUCUUCUCUGUUUGUCCCGCCUAUGCUUCCUGCCUGGCCACUGGCCAAUCAGCAUUUUAUUUAUGCAGAGUGAUAUCCACAACACAUGACUGUUCUGCUUCUGGGAUGAUGUCACCCAAUGGCUCAGUGAAUAUUUGCUAAUAAAUAAUGCCGAACUAAGGCAUCGGGCAGGGUGCUUGGCAUACCAUGUCUCAUUUAUUCUUUCUCUCCUAGUUUUUACUUGACAAAAUUUAAACAUUAAGUGGAAAAAAUACAAAAUGUUGUAACUAUUCUUCAUUGUCAAUUUGACUGAAUCUAGAGUCACUGUGGGGAUACACCCCUGGUUUCUCCAGAGAGGUUUAACUCUGGGGAAGACCUGCCCUAAAUAUGGUGGCACCAUUCCAUGGGCUGGGGUCCUGGCUGAAUAAAAGCAGAAAGGGAGCUGAGCACCAGCAUCCAUUGCUCUCUGCUUCCUGACUCUGAACUCAACGUGACCAGCUGCCUCAGGUUCCUUCAUUCAUUCAUUUGCCACCAAAAUGGACUGUGUCCUCAAAGUAUGAGCCAAAGUCAGUGUUCCCUCCCUCCCUCC